GGAAACAGGAAGCAGCAGUUCUUCCCCGGAUGAUAGAAAAUAAGGAGAGAGGAGCCAGUAAGCAUCUUGGUGGGAAUCAGUUUUCUUCUGCGCCAGUUAACAGUGCUGAAAAGUAAGGAUGGGGGUCCAGUGGUCUGACUCAAAGGGCUUCUCCUGGAUGAAGCAUCUGAACGCGGGGACGCCAGUGGGUCACCAGGAAUCCUUCCUCAGACAAACCACAGAGGUGGUCCAACUCCAGUCACUAGCUGCUUCUCCAUAGCCCUGAGGUCUCAUCUCAGGCUACAGUCUGAAGAGAACUGUGAAGCUCAGCCCUGUGCACCUCUGUCACACCAACCAGCAG